rnacentral:rRNA from 1 species
AGCGAACGCUGGCGGCAGGCUUAACACAUGCAAGUCGAACGGGCAUCUCCGGAUGUCAGUGGCAGACGGGUGCGUAACACGUGGGAACGUACCCUUCGGUUCGGAAUAACUCAGGGAAACUUGAGCUAAUACCGGAUACGCCCUUUUGGGGAAAGGUUUACUGCCGAAGGAUCGGCCCGCGUCUGAUUAGCUUGUUGGUGGGGUAACGGCCUACCAAGGCGACGAUCAGUAGCUGGUCUGAGAGGAUGAUCAGCCACACUGGGACUGAGACACGGCCCAGACUCCUACGGGAGGCAGCAGUGGGGAAUAUUGGACAAUGGGCGCAAGCCUGAUCCAGCCAUGCCGCGUGAGUGAUGAAGGCCUUAGGGUUGUAAAGCUCUUUUGUCCGGGACGAUAAUGACGGUACCGGAAGAAUAAGCCCCGGCUAACUUCGUG